rfam:Trichobilharzia regenti genome assembly, scaffold: TRE_scaffold0006915
AUCCAGAUGACGAGUCCCAAAUGGGAUGAAAUGCGUAUCCUGUCUGGAU